GACGAACGCUGGCGGCGCGCCUAACACAUGCAGGUCGAACGAGCGAGAGAGAGCUUGCUUUCUCGAGCGAGUUGCGAACGGGUGAGUAACGCGUGAGGAACCUGCCUCAACGAGGGGGACAACCGUUGGAAACGACUGCUAAUACCGCAUAAGCCCACGACCCGGCAUCGGGUAGAGGGAAAAGGGGCAAUCCGCUUUGAGAUGGCCCCGCGUCAGAUUAGCUAGUUGGUGAGGUAACGGCCCACCAAGGCGACGAUCGGUAGCGGGACUGAGAGGUUGAACGGCCACAUUGGGACUGAGACACGGCCCAGACUCCUACGGGAGGCAGCAGUGGGGAAUAUUGCACAAUGGGGGAAACCCUGAUGCAGCGACGCCGCGUGGAUGAAGAAGGUCUUCGGAUUGUAAACUCCUGUUGUUGAGGAUGAUAAUGACAGUACUCAGCAAGGAAGUUACGGCUAACUACGUG
rnacentral:rRNA from 1 species